GUCAUUAUGGGAUCUAGAAGCACUAACAUUGCUACUGGUGUGAUGGGCGAUCAAGACAUGGCAAUGCCAUCUACAGCAGCUGUAUCAGAUACCAGGAUGGUCCUGGAAUCUGAACAGGGAUCUACAGUGCAUCUUGUGUACUCCUCCAUCCCUGAUAUCCCGAUUGUGGC